rnacentral:tRNA from 1 species
GGCUGUGGCUCUGUGGGAAAGCAUCUGCUUGGCAUGCAGAAGACCCCAGGUUCAGUUCCUCUUAUGGCCA